rnacentral:rRNA from 1 species
UACAGAGGGUGCGAACGUUGCUCGGAAUUACUGGGCGUAAAGCGCGUGUAGGCGGUUUGGUAAGUCCUGUGUGAAAGCCCUGGGCUCAACCCAGGAAGUGCGCAGGAUACUGCUUGACUGGAGUGACGGAGAGGAUGGCGGAAUUCCCGGUGUAGAGGUGAAAUUCGUAGAUAUCGGGAGGAACACCUGUGGCGAAGGCGGCCAUCUGGACGUCAUCUGACGCUGAGACGCGAAAGCAUGGGGAGCAAACAGG